AUUAAAGUUGUUGCAGUUAAAAAGCUCGUAGUUGGACUUGUGUGCGCUGUCCGCGGGUGGCCUGCGCUCAAAAGGGCGUUUCGGUUCGGCCCGUGGCGCCUUGAAAUCUGCAGCUGGGGGGACGUUGGCCUUAACUGGUCGGCGACCGCACGCCGGCUGCUCGGUUACUGUGAGAAAAUUAGAGUGUUCAAGGCAGGCAUUGGGUGCAAUUGAAUACAUUAGCAUGGAAUAAUAAAAUAUGGCUCCUGCCGUAUUUUGUUGGUUUUGACUGGUGGGAGUAAUGAUUGAUAGGGACGGUUGGGGGUGCUAGUAUUGAGCGGCCAGAGGUGAAAUUCAUGGAUUCGCUCAAGACUAACUUAUGCGAAAGCAUUCACCAAGGACGUCCUCUUUAAUCAAGAACGAAAGUUGGGGGAUCGAAGACGAUCAGAUACCGUCGUAGUCUCAACCAUAAACUAUGUCGACUUGGGAUCGGCGGUAGUUUUUUCAUUAAGACACUGUCGGGACCACGGGAGAAAUCAAAGUGUCUGGACUCUGGGGGAAGUAUGGUCGCAAGGCUGAAACUUGAAGGAAUUGACGGAAGGGCACCACCAGGAGUGGAGCCUGCGGCUUAAUUUGACCCAACACGGGGAAACUUACCAGGUCCAGAGAUGUAGAGGAUUGACAGAUUGAAGCUCUUUCUUGAUCACUUCGGUGGUGGUGCAUGGCCGUUCUUAGUUGGUGGAGUGAUUUGUCUGGUUAAUUCCGUUAACGAACGAGACCUCAGCCUGCUAGUGUAGUCGGCUGGAUUGCCUUUGGCGAUCCGUGAUUUCGACUUCUUAGAGGGACAAUCGACGCGCAGUCGAUGGAAGUUUGAGGCAAUAACAGGUCUGUGAUGCCCUUAGAUGUUCUGGGCCGCACGCGCGCUACACUGCUGGGCUCAGCGAGUUUUACUUGGCCGAGAGGCCCGGUUAAUCUUGUGAAAUCCCAGCGUGCUUGGGCUCGCCUCCUGCAACUGGAGGCGCCAACGAGGAAUUCCUAGUAGACGCAGGUCAUCAACCUGCAUCGAUUACGUCCCUGCCCUUUGUACACACCGCCCGUCGUUCCAUAAGAGUGAGGCAUCCGGUGAAUUCUCGGGAGAGCCUGGGCGUGGCCAGCAAUGGUCUGCUCGGGUUUGAACUUGCAUAAACUUGGUGCCUAUGAUUAGGG
rnacentral:rRNA from 1 species